AUUUUGGGGUUUUGCAAAACCGGGCCACCUUUUUCUUUUUUGCAGAUUCGGUCCGCUUUUUUCGCCGCCUGACCAAAAUGCCCCUCCUAUACAAUAGCCUCCUACGUAUUUCUUGACAUACGUAUACUACCCUACUACCCUGCCGUACGGUCUGGCGCGCAUUAAAUGCGCCGUAUCCGUUUUACGCAACCUCCCUCGCUCAUUACUCGGAACUCGGACCACAUCUGCCCCCGGUAUUCGCCGGCCCCGCUGUUUCCUGUUCAGCUUUAAGACUUUACGAAAUUUUCUAAA
rnacentral:lncRNA from 1 species